CUGCUGGAGGGAGGGGUAGGUUGGAGGUUGCAGCCCUUUCUGUGAGUCUGUCGGGCGCUGCAGGAGAGGGAAAUUGGGUUAGCGGAGACCUCCGCCUGAGGUUAGGCUGGGAGCGGCCACAGCUCCUUUCUUUAGGCAGCUACCCGGGGCCGGCCGCUCGCCGCGAGCCACUAUGCCGAAGCCCCUCCUUGCCUCCUCAGAGCCCACCCAAGGCUGCUGCAGCUCCCUGGAAACGUGACUAAAGUUUCCUUUCUUUGGCCUAGACUUUUAAGGAGCGUUUGUUACUGCGGAGGUGGUUUGCCCCUACGCUAACGAAACGUCACCUUCUAGACCAUCCCCCCUCGCCCAGGCCCCAUCAAUGGCCAUGGAAGGGGUCUUAGCAACGUGUUCACAUAAUCACGUUUUUGUAAAACUAGUAAAACUAAAGCUAUUUUAAGCCACCUCUGUUAAGAGAGCUACCUCUUUCUACUGCGAUCUUCCUAUCUGGGAGAAUUGAAGUAGUUUGGGCAUUUGGGGGCAUUUUUAAUUAGGGUCUUCCCGUGAGUAGGGCUUGAGUGUGUCUACAUGAGUUCUAGGUUAUACAGAGUCCUGAUGAGAGGCCUAGUAAAGAUAAAAGGGGAAAAGUUGUGUUUCUGAAGUGCCUCCAAUUCUCAGAUGAUGGCAGUCUCCUCUGUGUCCUCCCAUCCACCCCUCCCAGCGAUGAAAGAAGGCCAGCAGCUGGUAAGAGAGAACCACAAGAACUGCAGCCAUGGGUCCUCCCUCUGUCGGGGCACUGUUUUAGGCAUGAGGGCAUAGAGAACCAAAGAACCUCAAGGAGAAGAGUGAAGUUCAGAACCUACAAAGAAAUAAAUAUUCAGAAACAUCUGUAGUUUUGACCCUCUGCUCAAUACCACCAGAGAAAAAGAGAAGUACUAUUACAUUUAUCACUGGUACUGUGAAACUGUGCCCUUGCCUAAUUUCAUUUCUGCAAGCCUUUACUGUGAACCAUGAAUGCGCUGGGCGCUAUGUGUGGAGGCACUGGCCCAAAGAUGAAGAUGUGCUUUCUCUCCUUGAGAAGCGCAGUGUGGGAGACAGACAGGUAAGUGGAUAAUUAUAUUACAGAUGAUUCCUGCUGUGAUUGAGAUGUGCACAAAGUUCUGCAGGAGCAGAGGAGUGUGACUAAUUCUGCCUGGGGGUGUCAGAUAACGUUUAAUUGAGGAGAGGAAAUCUCCACUAGGUCUAAGGGAAGGCUAGGACAACCCCAGGUGGAGAUGGACAGAAAAGACAUCCAGGGAGGAGUCGUUUGUGGCUAGAAUGCCCAAGUUACAGUGCUAGGUUCUGAAACACGGACUGCACAUGGACAGCCUGGGUCCCUCAGACACUGGUGGGGUGGGGGAGUCCACAGAGUUAAUGAUUUAUUGAAAAGGAGGACUUAGGCAAUAUGAAGCUACCAGUUAAAAGGCCUGAGUUGUUAGCAACCCACUGACUGUUUCUCUAUGCAGAAACCAUUCAUGCAUCCACCAUAGUUUUUCCACUCUAUGUUUAAGCUAAGGUAUUGAAAAGACUGUGGUGCUUUUUGUAGUAGGGGAGGGCGAUGUAAAUUGGUACAGCUCGCAUAGAAAGCAGAUUGGCAACAUCUAUAAAAUUACACAUGCUGCAUGUAUCUUGUCACUUCUAGGAAUUUAUCUUCAGAUGCAUCCUCUGCACAUGAAAUAACUUAUGCACAAAUAUUUAGCACAUCAUUGUUUAUAAUAUCAAAAGACUGGAUACAAAUUAAAUGUUCAUCAGGAGGGGAUUGGUUGAAUAAAUUAUGAGAGCCUUUUAAAGUGGGAUACUAUUCAAUGUAAAAAGAAAACAAAGAAUAUGGUAGCUCUUUGUGUCUUGUUUGGAAUGAUACAUUUUUAAAUGACAAAAGGCAAGGGGCAGAACCAUUUGUAUGAACCGGGGAUGGAGGGAAUUCAGGUCAUCCGUGGAGUGUUCCAAUAGUUGAAUUAAGAACCCUAGGCUGCCCUGCCUUUACUCCUUGUGAUAUGUGUCAAGAAAAUUUACCUGAGAAGGACUCUUCUGUGACUUGUAGCCAAAGGCAUGUAGACAGUAACUCUGAGGUUUGUGGAGGUCUUUACAUUUGGAACAGGAAUAAAGCAGAAGAGGGAGUUAAAACUCUGACUUGCAGGAAUUCUCCAGUUGACUCCAUUUUAAUGCUAGUGGGCCCUGCCAAGUGCUUCCGCCCUCUGGGUUUUCUGAGAUCUGGAUCUCAGAGCAGCCAGUCAUUCACAUGACAAAGCUGGGGGGAUUUCUGUGCAGAGACACAGUCUGGCCAGAUUCAACCUGCCUGACUUCUUUUAAAAUAUAGCCUCAUCAAAGCAGAAACACUAAAAGCCUGAUAGAAUCUAUUUGCAGUCAGGGGCAGUAGGGCAAUGUACUAGAUGCUAGAGUCAACUCUUAUGAUAUGGAAUUCAAACAAGCCAUUCUCUGCCUGCAGGAGGACCCAGAUACUCCUGACUUGCAUAGGAUUCUGUAGAACUGGAAAGUCUGUGGAUUAAGCCAUGGUAGUCUGAGAACUUGUCCACACAGCUGAAAUUGUCCUGUCAGUAUUAUCCAGAUAAUUUUAAGGACUCACCGUGACUCACUUAUCUAUUCUUUCAAGAAAAUUAUUUGUCCCCUGUACUCUGUUAGGUGCUAGCGAUAUAACAGUGAGCAAAACUGAAAUGGCCUUGCCUUUAUUGACUUACAGUCUAGAGAAGGAGAUAGCAAUUAGUUGAGUAAUUAUCAGUAGGUGUACAAUUACAGCUGAGCUAAGCAUUGAAGAGUUAUGGUGGGUAAGAGUGGCUUUAUUAGAAUGGCAUCAGGGAAGGUCUACCUAAAGAAAUGACACUUGAGCUGACAUCUGAAGAAUGAGUUAGAAUUAACUAGGUGAUGUGGGAGAAAAUCACUUCAACAGAAAAAAAUAGUUCCUGUGAAGGCCCCAGGGUUGAGGGUCACAUCGAACACUCAGGGAACUGGAAGAAGGCCAGUGUGGUUGGAGGCCAGAGAGUGAGAGGGCUGUGCUUGGUAAGACUGAAGCCUGACAAGGCAAAGCCAAGAGACGUGUAAAGUGUUUUGGUAAGAGCAAUGGAAAACUUGUAGUACAGAGCGUUAGUUGUCCCCCAAAUUCCAUUUCCCCUCUCUUCCUUCAGUAUUCAAAUCCCAGAGUUUGGGCUCUGUAUAUGGCUACCUAGUUAAAGACUGUUUUCCAGACUCCUUUACAUGUAAAUUUGCUCAUGUGACCAAGUUCUGACCAAUGGAUUGUGAGCAAAAGGGCAGGCUUUCAUUUCUUCCUAUUUUCUUCUUACUGACUGGAAUAUAGACAUGAUGGUGGGGGCUGGAGGAGCCAUCCUAGACCGUGAGAUAGAAACCAUAUGCUGAGGAUGGUGAGGCAACAAGAUAGAGGGAAACUGGAUCCCCAUCACCAUGGAGCAGCCAUAGCAGCCCCUGACUGUUAAAUUCAGACUGUAUGUGACAAGUUGAUAAAUUUCUGGAGUUCCCAUAGUGGCUCAGUGGUUAACGAAUCAGACUAGGAACCAUGAGGUUGUGGGUUCAGUCCCUGGCCUCGCUCAGUGGGUUAAGGAUCCGGCGUUGCCGUGGGCUGUGGUGUAGGUUGCAGAUGCAGCUCGGAUCUGGCGUUGCUGUGGCUCUGGCGUAGGCCGGCGGCUACAGCUCCAAUUCGACCCCUAGCCUGGGAACCUCCAUAUGCCGUGGGUGUGGUCCUAGAAAAGGCAAAAAGACGAAAAAAUAAAUAAAUAAAUAAAUAAAUUUCUGGAAUUCCCAUCGUGGUGCAGUGGUUAAUGAAUCCGACUAGGAACCAUGAGGUUGCAGGUUUGGUCCCUGCCCUUGCUCAGUGGGUUAACCAUCCGGCAUUGCCAUGAGAUGUGGUGUAGGUUGCAGACGCAGCUUGGAUCCUGCGUAGCUGUGGCUCUGGCGUAGGCUGGUGGCUACAGCUCCGAUUAGACCCAUAGCCUGGGAACCUCCAUAUGCCGCGGGAGUGGCCCAAGAAAUAGCAAAAAGACCAAAAAUAAAUAAAUAAAUAAACAAA
rnacentral:lncRNA from 1 species